CAUCGUUAAAAUUGGUUUUUAGGAGCACAAGGGACCAAGCCUGAGGAGGCAUCAGGUGUUGAAAAGCUAAUUCACAGCUCCCCAGCUGCCUACUUGUGGGGACAGCUUUCUUCGGCUGCAGGCAGUAAUUGCUUUACUGCUAUCCUAAAUUGCCCUGGAGAAGAAAGCAAAGCUUUGCUUGCUUUAUCCUGUGGAUUUAAAGCAGUGCCUAUACUUGCUCUGCAUAGAAGAGAACUUCUCCUACAGAUAUUUUUAUUCUAAUCCACGCAACACAUUCCAGUUGAAACA
rnacentral:lncRNA from 1 species